GUAUUCCAACAGCUGUAACAAAGGCGCAUCGCUCGCCUUCUUAGUGUGGGAGCGGCGUGGCGUCCUGCCAGGUGGGAGGUUCUGUGUCCUUCGUCCUCCCAGAGCCUCGGCAAGGACUAAGAAGCCCUGGAGGAGGAGAGGCGACCGCCCGUGACCACUUGAGAUUCUGUUCUUCCGAGGAGGGACCAUUAGUCAUUCUCAGUGACGGCCCAUGAAGAAGGUGCGGGGUUGAGAAUACUCUAUAAAAGAACAUUCCCCGCAGACCAGCUCCAAGGGCCGACGCCGACAAUGCCGGUCUGACGACGAGGACUGGCGUGUGUCUAGCUCCCCACCCCCCUCCGACCCGAGCUGGAAUAUAUGGGCCGGAGGUUGUGGUAAGCUCCGACCCCGCAGAAUCACAAGGAGUCAAGCUUAUAAGUUCGGGGUCUGAAGGCCUUGGGAUACUCACCUUCAGCAGUGGCAGACCACCACCCUUGGGAGGCAGGACACAACCCCUGGCUGACACCCGGCAUCCAUUCACUGCUGAAUUAACGUGGGUACAGGGCUAAGGAGAUUGCCUGUCCCUCUCACUCCAUCCAGGAAUCAAACACAGGACCUUUUGCUUCUGAGCUCAGCCUGCUAACCACUGCAUCAUGCCUGCAUAUGCCUAUGAUAGGGACAACCCACUCCCACAUUCCAGUCAGGAGGAAUGGUACCAGACUGCCACAUGGUGGACAGCACUGCAUGAUGCAACCCAUGGAUCAUGGCUUAACCCCCAGCUUUCAACACCUCUGCACUGAUAUUAC